GGASSGUGCAAGCGUUAUCCGGAUUCACUGGGUUUAAAGGGUGCGUAGGUGGGUCUGUAAGUCAGUGGUGAAAUCUCCGAGCUUAACUCGGAAACUGCCAUUGAUACUAUAGAUCUUGAAUCAUCUGGAGGUAAGCGGAAUAUGUCAUGUAGCGGUGAAAUGCUUAGAUAUGACAUAGAACACCAAUUGCGAAGGCAGCUUACUACGGGUGCAUUGACACUGAGGCACGAAAGCGUGGGGAUCAAACAGGAUUAGAUACCCUGGUAGUCCACGCCCUAAACGAUGGAUACUCGACAUCAGCGAUACACUGUUGGUGUCUGAGCGAAAGCAUUAAGUAUCCCACCUGGGAAGUACGACCGCAAGGUUG
rnacentral:rRNA from 1 species